GCCUAGCUCAGUUGGCAGAGCAUGAGACUUUAAAUCUGGAGGUCAUGGGUUUGAGUCCCGCACUGGGAGAAACC